rnacentral:tRNA from 1 species
GCGGACGUGGCGAAAUGGUAGACGCAAGGGACUUAAAAUCCCUUGGGGGAAACCCUGUGCGGGUUCGAGUCCCGCCGUCCGCACCA